GGCAAACGGGGUAGGAAGGAUUGGUGACGUACCCUUCGGACGGGGAUAGCCACGGGAAACUGUGGGUAAUACCCGAUAACCUCCUGGGUUUGAAUACUCAGGUGCAAAGGUGUGAUUCCACCGGAGGAGCGGCCAAUUUGACAUCAGCUAGUUGGUAAGGUAACGGCUUACCAAGGCUACGACGUCUAGGGGGUGUGAGAGCAUGGCCCCCACCACUGGGACUGAGAUACUGCCCAGACACCUACGGGUGGCUGCAGUCGAGAAUCUUCGGCAAUGGGCGAAAGCCUGACCGAGCGACGCCGCGUGCGGGAUGAAGGUCUUCGGAUUGUAAACCGCUGUCAGAGGGGAUGAAGUUAUAGUGGGUUCUCCCAUUAUAUUGACAGAGCCUCAGAGGAAGCACGGGCUAAGUAUGUGCCAGCAGCCGCGGUAAUACAUACUGUGCGAACGUUAUUCGGAUUCACUGGGCUUAGAGGGUGCGUAGGCGGCUUGUUAAGUAGGGUGUGAAAGCCCCCAGCUCAACUGGGGAACUGCACUCUAUACUGGCGAGCUGGAGUGAGAUAGGGGUGUGUGGAACUGCCAGUGGAGCGGUGAAAUGUGUUGAUAUUGGCAGGAACGCCGGUGGCGAAAGCGACACACUGGGUCUCAACUGACGCUGAGGCACGAAAGCCAGGGGAGCGAACGGGAUUAGAUACCCCGGUAGUCC
rnacentral:rRNA from 1 species